CGCGGCUCCCGGCGGUUUCCCGCCGAGCGGCCCAGCCCCGGCCGGGCGCGGCGCUGCCUCACGACGGGCGGGCGCGGAGCGGCGUUCAGAGGCUCGCGCUGAGGCAAAAAUACCCGCUUUGAGAAAAGGGGUUGGAAAUGCUGUGUUUAGUUCCGCCGUCCGCGCACGCCCGCCCUAGCUGAGGGGAAGGAAAGGAAGUUACCUGCCGUUACCUGAGACGUGAGGGCAGAGCGGCGCCGGCCCUCCCGGGGCCGUGACAUUGCUACGUGCAUGGCAGACGGAGGCAGUGAAGAAAUCUCCACCCUGCAGGAAACAACCAGGUGACCCGAGUGCAAACGGACUUUCUGCGGCACAACCCUGACACCCGGUGGCCAGGAGGGAAAUACAGCCACGGACUUUGUGACCAACGGCAAAGUCUUGAGGAAGAGCAACACCCGCAAGUGUCAGGCUGAAAAGGGCAUCCCCGGCUGCUAGAGUGAAGGUGACCCCCACUUACCGACGGCGAGGAGGAGAAUGCUGGCGACAAAGCAGCCCGCGCCUACACUGAGGAAAGCAAAGUACAGAGAAGCAUUAAAGACCACAGUUUCAGUGGUAAAGCCAGGAUGAGAACUGAGGAGUGCCCCAGCGUCCCCUCUCUGCUCAGGUCACAGCCAGCCAGCCUCCGGAUGACAGGGCAGGUAAAACAAGCUAUGGCCACACCAAAGGACUGAAGGUACUUGUUUUUAACAUGAAUAGAAGCCUUGUCAGCCCUUAAAUCAAGGGGAUCAUUUCUAUAUUAAGAUAUUCCUCCAUCCCUUCCAAAGGCUGAGGAAGUGGACAGUGCUAAAGUUUAAAACUCCAAAAACAGCUUUGGUGACCAAAGGUGGCCUCAGCAUUAUCAGCAAUAUAGAAGCGAGCAGGAGAAACCAAACUGCAGAUGUGGCACGGUGCCAAAUGGAUCCUCAGGGCAGGAAAUGACCCUGGUGACAAAAAACAGUACCAGAGAACAGAGUUGAACUGAUUUUCUUUGCACCCUACACAGACAUUCUUUACACUGCUGGAGCUGAAGGAUUUAACCAACUACUGUCUCAUCUAGUGCUUCAGUAACUGAAGAACACACACAGUCCUAACCCCAGGCCAAAGACUCUGAAGGGAUUUCUGCUUGCAUUAAAAUAAUGCUUUUCCCUAAACUUUCUUGAAGAAAUCAGCAAAAGGUUAAAAGUUCAAACACAGAAUCAGCCCUCCCUCAGCCCUAGAAGUGGGGGGAAGAAUCUCACCCUGCAGGAUGACUAGCUAAAAAAGGCUAAAUAUUAGCCACGUUCUUCAUUCCUAAAAAGCUUUCACAGAGCUCUCCAAGGGUAGCCAGUCAGUCCUCUUAUUUCUCAGUGUCUGCCCCAAAGGAGGGGGUAUGUGUACAUCAGAAUAUGCCACUCAUCUAAACAAAGCGCUGAGGGUACACAGGCAGCAGGGAUGUACCAUCUGCAAGGCACAAAUGGAAUCAAGUCCAGCUUCUGCCAUGCCAGCUCACUGAGGCUACGAAAGGGAAAGUUUGAGUGCUCUGACCAUACUCACUUAAAAUAACUACAAAAUUGAGGAAAAUCAGUUUAUUCCUCUUGCUGCCCCAAGCAGCAUCAUGAAAACACAACAGAGUUUUGAGAACACAGAUGAUGAUCAUUACUUUUACAUACAACCACAAAUACUUUAGAAUGCACAAAGCCUAAGUGAAACAGGUUCCUAAAUAACUCCGACAUCUUGACAACUAUACUCUUUACUAAGUGCUAGUUUGGGCUGGGAUAAGAGUUAGUUUUGUUCACAGUAGCUAGUACAGGGCUGUUUUGAAUUUGUACCAAAUACAGUGUUGAUAACACAGGGUUGUUUUACUUAUUCCUGACUGGUGCUUACACAGUGUCAUGGCCUUUUCUGCCAGUGAGGAGGCCAGGGGUGCACAAGGAGCUAGGAGGGAGCAUGGCCAGGACAGCAGACCCCAACUAGCCAAAGGGCUAUUCCAUCCUACAGAGCAUCACAACCUGUACAGAAACUGGGGGGGAGUUGUGUGGGAGGGGCAGACCAGUGCUUGAGCAUCAGUCAGCAGGUGGUGAGCAACUGUAUUGGGCAUCAAUUGGGUUUUUUGGUUUAGGGUUUCAUUUUGUUCCUUUUCAUUCCUGUUUUUUUGGUGUGUGUUUUAUUACUUUCAAUACCAUGAUUAUAAUAAUAUUGUUUAUUAUUAUUGUCAUUAUUUUAUUUCAUUUUAGUUAGUAAACUGUUCUUACCUCAACCUAGAAGUUGUACUUGUUUUUCCCUGACUCUCCU